AAAUAUCCAACUAUUCUUACAAAUUUCAAUCAUUGAAAUCAAUUGCAAAACUUCAUUUUAGUCAAAAGCAUAAUAAUAAUUAAAACUUCUUGUUUCUCUCCAAACAAAUGUAUUUUAUGAAAUCAAGCCUUGAUUUUCCCUAAAAGCUUAAUAUAAGUUGCAAUCUAAGCCAUACUUGUAGACUUCUUACAUAUCGUUAUUGCAUAUCAACACUUCAGUGAUCCCCCAUAAUUAUUUCCUACUUUAGAUAACUUAAAAUGUCUUCAGCUGUGUCAUAAGCAAGCUACAAUUGUCAACAUUACAGUUCUAUUCCAAUCAAAAAUGUUUUUUUAAAAUAAAUUGUUAGACUGUAAUCAAAAUUUAAUAUACACUCUGAUGACAAAUACCAUGGAGACUAAAAUUCCAAUUAAAAUUAAAAAAAACAAAGAUGGUCGUACCUGAAGCUUUUGUUUUUGUUUUAGUCAACUCCUUCUUCUCUUUAUUACAGCAGACACCACAUUCAUUCGGAAACUCCGAUGAAAUGAAGGACAUAACAACCUUCACCUCGACAACAAC
rnacentral:lncRNA from 1 species